AAAGAAAAAGGGGAAAUGAAAAUAUGGGCACCACGUAGUUUGUCCAAGUGGUGUUACCGUAGUCUGAUGUCAUCAUUAUUGUCCUACACUGGCAAUCUCGCAGAGGAACAGAUUGGAAUGGCAUGAUUCAACAGCUGCAGGAAAACCCCUCUAAUGUGGGAUGGUGUGGACUGCAGAAAACUGGCAGAUACUGGCAGAAGACCCCGCAAAAAACAACAUACCUUACAGGAGUGUGUGACAAUUGGUUAGGAAUAAAUGUGGUCAUCGGGACCAUUACAUCAUCUUUUGACAGACUUCAAACAAAGACAAGUCUUCUGGACUGAGAGGUUCUGCUAGGUAGGUAAAAAAAGAUCUCAUUUAAUACCACAAACCUCAACUGAAUAUCAAACAACCUUUGCAUUUCCCACCAAACAGCUUUAUUCAGCAGCAGAGCUUUUCCAAAUAGUGAGAGCUACUUUUUCUUGUUGGAAUGUUCUUUGGUUUAUAUUGUAAAAUUAUUGCAGUUUGUAAAGCGUUGCAAAAUCCUGUAUACUUUUUAUGGUGGUGGUUUUGGUGGGCAGGGGUAACAGGAAAUGAGUCAUUCCAUAUAUGGUAUGGACAUAUAGUCUGUAUAAUUGCACCAAAUCACAUUAUCAAUUUUAGCUUAGCAGCUGGCUGGUCAGUGCUGGUGCUGAGAGGGAGGUGACAUUACAUGAAUGAUCAUCUCUGUUUCCACCAGUGGCAUCACUAACCUACUGUCUCAUCUGGUCUGGAUGCCUUGUGUGCACCACCUGAUCCAAAGGUCUCACUGCUGCUUUUUCAUUCAGUUCUACUUUGACCAAAUCAUCCCUCUUUGAUUUUCAGUUGUUGUGGUUGUCUGUGAACUUGACACAACUGAAUUAAAAACAAAUUAACAAAUUAGUGAAAAAAUGGAAGUACUUUUUUCUUUUUAUUUACAUCCUUGCCCUUUUUCUUUUAAAGAUAUUUCUCUUUUCUUGUGGAAUCCUUGGCCUGCAGUACAGUGAAUCAAAGUAUGGGAAAUGCUUUAAGAGCUUAAAAGAAAAGGUUGAAAGUUCAUUUCUAAGAAAAGUGAUCAUAGAAGUAGAUCACCUGCACUCCUUGGAAUUUCUUAUUUAGGUUAUUUUAAAAGGCAGUCCAUGUUUUGGAAACAUUAGUCCAUAUCAAUUAGGUCCAAUAAUUAGGGAUUUGGUAGAAGAAAUCCACGAACUGAGUAAAUUUCAAAGUAAAUCUUAAAGAAGAAUAAAUGUUUAAUUUCAAAAUAAAAGAAAAAAAUGAGUAAAAUAAAACAACCAAAUGAAAGCUUGUCAGCUUUGUUGACUACUUUUAUGAAUUUCUAUAAGGUGGGAUCUCCAUCCAUCUAUUUUCCUGACCAGCUACAUCUCGUUCGGGGUCAGAAGGUUGCUGGAGCCUGUUGGAGAUUAAAAAUGUGUGUUAGUAACAUAUGAAUGAUUAGAAAUUAUUUCCUAAUCUUUUAAAAAAUAAAAACAGUCAUGAUUUAGCUUAUUCGUUCUCUUUUCAACCGAUUAGAAUCAAUCAAUCCAGUUUUAUUUGUCAAAUACUUAAAUUGCAUUGCAGUAGUGAAAUGCAUUUUUUUGUACCACUCCAAGUAUUAAAGAUUGUAGUUUCUAUGUCUCAGUAUAUUUUGAAGUCACAGCUAUUAAUGCAUUCUGAAUACAAGAGGGGUCAGACAUUUUCAUUCUAAGUUCCAAAAAAAUAAAAAUAAAAAUUUUCACUACAUAUUUACUUUCUAAUGCAACUAAGACAUGGAGCAGGUGGAAAAUUAUUUAAAACUCAAUUUGAUUUUUAUGUAUAGGUAUUUGGUAUGCUGAAGCUUUUAAAAUGCAAAAAAAUAAAAAAUAAAAUUCAAGAUUCACCUUGUCUUGUCCGCAUCAUUUAUUAACGAAACACUUACUUAUGUAGAUGCAAACAUCUUCAACUUUACAUGUAACAAAAAAAAAAAGCUUUAUACAAAAAACAGAAUCUCAAAGAUCUAUUUUUAUAUGACAAUGAAAAAAAGAAAAACACCAAACCGCUGGAACGGUGGAAACAAUCGUGCUAUCAGGUUUGAAAAGUAUAUAUGUCCCUCAGAAGUUUACUGCAGGUAUAUCGCAGACAGUCACAGUUAGCAAACUGGCCAACCUUAGUAUGAACUAGACCGCAUGAUCGCAGUUUGGAUGUGGUAUGAUUGAAGCGAUGGCCGAUCGCUGUGAAGUAUAAACUGCACAUCAGAUCACAUGCACAGUGACAGGUGACAGAUAAAUACUUUUAUACUUAAGAUCUUUCUGAUUACACUCAUGGCUUUGACAGAAUACUCUUUUUUCCCCAGUCUGUCAGCUUGACCUUGCAAUAACAAUUAACAUUUACAAAUGCAUUAAAAUCUAUUUCUUUUCCCUCACCCUUCCAGUGAUCAGACCUCCAAGACCAUAGAUAGACCUGUAAAUUACAUCUUUGCUUUUGAGCUCUGUAUUCUCUUCAAUAAAACCUUUACAAGCAGCUUUAAGGGCAGGUAGUUUUUUUUCAUCUACCCCUGCUCUUGUUUAGACUUAAAGAGAAUUUUGACAUUAACACACCCUUCCACUAUAGGCAUCAACACAUUACCCACUUAAGAUUAAAACCUCCUCUUUUUAGCCUGAAGUCUAAUACCUGAGACUUAAAGAUGCCAAUUCUCAUCUGAGCUGGUUCACAGUUUGCUGCACAUCAAUCCAGUUCCUGCUGGAAAUCUAUAAACUAGGUUAAAACACAGGGGGAAACUCAUUAACUCACACGGAAGAAACUCAGUUGUUGCUUGUUAUUGAUUCAGUCAAUGAAAACAUUUAUUGUUGAUAUACUAAUUUUUCACUUAUGUUAAAUUGCAUAUUUUGGUGCUCUAUGACUAUCCUAUAACAGGUCAUUCCAGUUUUUUUCUUCUGGUAUGUAAAUUAUUUUUCCAAUAGUUUAGUGAAACACAAGUCCUCCAUCCCUUUCUGUGCCUCAUGUAUCCAACCUACAGGGGAGUUUAGUUUCAUUAGUUGUAUGAUAACAAUUAAUGGACAUUUCAAGUAAAACAGAUAAAUCACAGUAACAUUUGCCUUCAUCUAGUCCAAAACUGUAGCAGCAACCCUAGGUCACCCCGGGAAAUGCAACCCUAACCAUAAAUUGUCCAAAACAAGGACAAUUUUGUCUUUUCUGUUUCAAACAUUUUCCUUUCACCUUUAAUGUCAAAGAGGUAACAGAACAGAUAUUAAUAUGGUGUAGUUUUAGUUUCUACUUCUAACAUUGCGAGACUUAUCAAUUGUCAUGUCGUGUCAUGUGCUCCCUGGCUACGUGUGAAUUGUUUGCUCAUAUGUGACUAUGUGUUAGGGAAAGAGUUUCCACAUGAUGUGACUGAUAAAAAUAGCGCCCCUUUAAAUGAACCAUGAACAUUUCCUGGCUUGCUGGAAGUCUAAAGAUAGAGGAUGGCUUCUGUUGCAGUUCAUGUACAUGUCUGCAGAAUUUGUGCUGGCUUAUCAUUUAUUAUAGAGUCUGAGCUUGCUCUGUGAAUCUUUCUGUCACUUGUUCCUAUAUGCGACUAAUGCAGAUAAACACCAGAUAUGUGAGGAGCUGUGCUGUUUGUUUGGCAGAUGGAUGGAGGCAUUAUGGUUAAGUUACAUGUCCAGGGAUUAUUAAGUCAGUCAAGACAAUGCGUUGGAACAGAUGUGGACAAAAAGCUGUUUAAAGAAGGAAAAUGAUCCUAAAAAAAGCCCAACCGCCUCUUUUCCACAUUUUUUUCAAUUAAAAUUUCAGAUGACAAAAGCCUUUUAGUCUUCUGUGAGGCUGCUUUAAAAGCAACAGCAAUGUGCAUUUGAUCAAGUUGGCGAAAA